GACAGAGGCCUCGAGCGUUAGGCGGAAUCACUGGGCUUAAAGCGUGUGUAGGCGGAUCGUUAAGUGCCUUGUGAAAUCCCACGGCUCAACCAUGGAAGUGCUUUCGAAACUGCUGAGCUUGAGUACGAAAGAGGAUCGCGGAAUUCCCGGUGUAGAGGUGAAAUUCGUAGAUAGUCGGGAGGAACACCAGUGGCGAAGGCGGCGAUCUGGGUCGAUACUGACGCUGAGGUGCGAAAGCGUGGGGAGCAAACAG
rnacentral:rRNA from 1 species